UCUAAAAGAGAAGCGAUGGCAUACUUACUCCUUCCGCGAUAGCGGAUUCGCCUCGGCGAAUGAGUGGGGUGUCAUCAAACUGCCGACUGUUUACCUGACAGUUACGCAGAAUUCUGGUCAAAGCCUUCUUUGGCCUGAACCGAUCGCACGAUCGUCAUGGGCAGCGUAGCUGCCCUGUAUGUUCAACCUUUGUCCUCGAAACCCAUUAAGCACUGAAUGAGAUUUGGGCGAGCCGCCGGCGUCUUACGGCGGGGGAGCGCGCAACGCGGCCCUGUAGCUCAGUUGGUUAGAGCGCACCCCUGAUAAGGGUGAGGUCGGUAGUUCGACUCUACCCAGGCCCACCAUCUUAGCCAAGCACCUUCACGGGGCUGUAGCUCAGCUGGGAGAGCACCUGCUUUGCAG
rnacentral:tRNA from 1 species